rnacentral:misc_RNA from 1 species
GAUGAAGAACGUAGCGAAAUGCGAUAAUUAAUGUGAAUUGCAGAAUUUAGUGAAUCAUCGAGUCUUUGAACGCACAUUGCGCCCCCUGGUAUUCCGGGGGGCAUGCCUGUCCGAGCGUCAUUGCUGCCCUCAAGCACGGCUUGUGUGUUGGGCCUCCGUCCUCCUCCCGGGGGACGGGCCCGAAAGGCAGCGGCGGCACCGCGUCCGGUCCUCGAGCGUAUGGGGCUUCGUCACCCGCUCUUGUAGGCCCGGCCGGCGCUUGCCGACACAUCAAUCUUUUUUCCAGGUUGACCUCGGAUCAGGUAGGGAUACCCGCUGAACUUAAGCAUAUCAAUAAGCGGAGGA